CCUCGGGAGGGUGGUUACUUCAGAUCCUUCACUUGAAAGUCCCCCGCCAGUUAAACAAACCACUAAGCACUUUCCUACUAACACCUUUUAAUCUUGAGUUGCGCUGUCUGUUUGGAGGCACUUUUUUGUUAUUACCAUCUGAACUCACUGUUCAUUUAUUACACUGUUAACAGCACAGUUCCUUUACCAUCUCUAGCUUGACUAAUUUUUUACACAGUGAUUGGUCUAAAUUUUUUUUUAAAUAGGUCUACAACAAAAAUUAAAUCUCUUCUGAGUGUUUUAACAUUCAGCAAAUGUUGUAAUUGUGUUAUCGCUACUGGUUUACGCCAGAAACUGACAGCUGGCGAGCAACAAAAAAAAGAUCUAUUCUAGAAUGUUGAUCAUGAUCCUCAGUUUAAAGUCAACUGUAAAAAGUAAUUCCAAUUAUUCAACCACAUUCAUUCACUAAAUCUAGAAAUCUAUCUCUUCUCCCCGUUACUUUACGACUGGAAAUGUGUUAACGCUACUAUCUCAGAUGCCGCAGUAUUUAUCAUAGUAGGUUGGCUCUGCUUAAGACUGCAAAAUUUUGAGGAAAUCUUAAUAGGUUGCUAGAUAGCAUAUCAGGUGCUAACCUGGGCUUACCAGAUGUCACAGGAGUUCCCCCAGUUCCAGCAGUGGCAGCUUCAACCCAAAUUUGAUGCAGUGGUUGCAGCUCUCUGGCAAACUAUCUGCCCUAAUCAUAAAGGCACAUACAACCUGGACCUGUCCUGUAUAUCUUCAAAUAGACCUGAGGUUUACGAUGUAGCCACCCAUUCCAUUUACACAAACUACUUUGACUCUGUCACUGAACGUCUGCCAAGCAACACAUCAGAAAAGAGACAGUACUGCAACCUGAGACUGAACUGCUUUGACUCAUGGGCAGACUCCGAGAUGGAGAGGGUGAGAAUGAGGAACAGGAGACAGCCCCACCGUGGCAUGCGAAUCAGCGGACCAUACCUAUCUGGACUCACUCAGUAUGGGCCCUCAAGACCUAUGUCCACAAAACAGUACCUAUAUCACAUGUAUGGCUAUAACUGCAGAUGACAGUGCCUCUUAAUGAUCGAAAACGGAACCGAAUGCAUCGUUUUCUUUCCUUGCCUUCCAUGCAAAAUUAAACCAGUGAAGUGAAUUUAAAUUUGAAACCAUUUGUGCAGGCAGCCACUGGUCUCCAUGUCCUUAUAUUAAAUAUUAAAGCUCAGCAAGAGACACAUUUGCUCUUUUCUUUCCUUGUCAUUUUUGUUAAAGAAUCUGCUCACUCAUCUGAGCACGAGUUGCACAUAUCUGGUGGAAGCUUAAGUAGCUUUGGUAAAAUUAUAUUCUGUCCAAUGUAAAGGUUCAAAAUAAAUGCAGGGGCAUUUUAUGGAAAACGUCUUUUUAAUUGACAUAGUUGUACAGUUAUAUCAUUGCAGGACAUAAAUGUACUGACUCUCUGGCCAUUCAGCUUGACACAUAAGAUUCCGUAGUGUGUGUGUGUGUCUGUGUGUGUGUGUGUGUGUGUGAGCGAGC